rnacentral:rRNA from 1 species
GCUUUCGGAGCUAACGCGUUAAGUAGACCGCCUGGGGAGUACGGUCGCAAGAUUAAAACUCAAAUGAAUUGACGGGGGCCCGCACAAGCGGUGGAGCAUGUGGUUUAAUUCGAUGCAACGCGAAGAACCUUACCUACUCUUGACAUCCAGAGAACUUUCCAGAGAUGGAUUGGUGCCUUCGGGAACUCUGAGACAGGUGCUGCAUGGCUGUCGUCAGCUCGUGUCGUGAGAUGUUGGGUU